rnacentral:misc_RNA from 1 species
UUGGGCAAAUUCCGGAUGAAAGGUAACCGACUACGCCGGAGAAACUCGGCGACUACAGAUAAAGUGCGGAUAGUAUGAUUGAGAUUUCAGUGAAUCAUCGAAUUUUUGAAACGCACAUUGCACCCGGCGGCCAUUCCGCCGGGUCUGCACUGUUCGAGACGUCGUUUCUCCCCUCGAGACCCCGGGACUCGGUGUUGGGGAUCUGCAGGGCCCCCACGGGCGCUGCAGUCCCUGAAAUUCAGUGGCGGGACAUGCUGGAGGCCCCCUGCGCAGUAACCAAAUCUCGCAUCGGGUGCCGGCGUGCCCUGGCCGUCAACCGGUCGGUGCCCCAGGUGCCGUCCACAGAACAGUCGACCUCGAAUCAGGUAGGGUUACCCGCUGAACUUAAGCAUAUCAAUAAGCGGAGGAAAAGAAACCAACAGGGAUUGCCCCAGUAACGGCGAGUGAAGC